CCCCCCGGACCAGCAGCGCCUGAUCUUUGCCGGUAAGCAGCUUGAGGAUGGUCGCACACUGGCAGAUUACAACAUUCAGAAGGAGUCUACUCUCCACCUGGUGCUUCGCCUUCGUGGUGGCCAGUGAGUUCUUCGCAUUCCUGGAAGUUUGACCCGGACCAGCAGCGCCUGAUCUUUGCCGGUAAGCAGCUUUAGGAUGGUCGCAUACUGUUGGACUCCACCUGGUGCUUUGCCUUCGUGGUGUCACUGAGUUCUUCGCACUCCUGGAAGUUUGAUUUGACUACGCCUGUUGCUGGUAUCCGAGUCAUUAUUUGUGCUUUUACUUAAAAUUUGUAGUCCCGUGCCAUUCGUGAGAACACCUGGUGCUGCCUUUAAGCAGCUUAUAUUAGUACUAUCCGUUAUGAAAUAUAAGUGAUCCUGAAUCUUCUUAUUCCUUGAUAAGCCGAAUCUCCGUAUCCUGUAAAUUACAGUUGCUUUGUGCUGGUCCUGUGAUUCAUAGAUGUUCAGACUGUAACAUCGAGGGGGAUGAGAAAUUUUGAUGGAGGUACUUUAUAAAAGUAUUAGUUUUACCCCCUCCGUAUCAAAAUAUUUUGAGUAAUAAUUAUCUAAUUCGAGGGUUGCUGGUCUGAAUCAACAGUGUAGGCAUGUUCAGAAUGCAGAUAACUUCAUGCAGUACAGUGAAAGAAACAUGGGUGUUAUGUCCAGA
rnacentral:lncRNA from 1 species